AUUAACAAGGUCUCCUUUUGGAGUCUCCGCCGUCCCAAGAAAAGUUCUCCACUCCACACACACGAUAUCGUUGAAUGCAAUCCCUUUACUUCCUUUCCCAGAAUUUUGACUAUAAAAACUUUGUUGAUCUCUCUGAGUUAUGUCUCCAAACUGAAAAGUACUGUGAGUGAAAAGAAGUGAAUUCAUUCUUGGGUUUUGCAGAUCUUCGUGCUACCACAUCCUUUGAUCAAACACUGGAUCUUUGUCCUGAGAAAUGACCAAACUCAUUCUCCUAUUUUCAAAUGUCAGAUCCUUGCACAUGUGAAACAAGUCGUGAAAGUUGACUUUGGGAGGAACAUCAGCGGGUUGUUUAGGCACACGCUAUAACCGUUGGGAAGCGUACCAGAACCAGCUGGGGUUGUGUCCGUCAGCUCAGCCGUAGUCUUAGUCCUAACAUGAUUGUCUAGAGGCCCGAGUAGCUUAACUUAAGUGAUGUUAAAAAAAGUGAAGCUGAUUAUCAGCCGUUGUCAUCUCAGCUAAGCAUUUGUUCAGGGGCAAGCGUUACAAAGGUCAACAAUGGCACACAAUUGAACCUUCUGGUCAUGGUGAAUGCACAAAUCCAUCUCUCCGAAAUGAAGCCAGGGCGUAGCAAGCAGGUUGUGUUCACACGUCUGCUUUGGUUUUGGGGGUCUAGAAUGUUAAGAAAGGAGGAAAGCUAAUUGGGUUGACAUGGUGUAUGUUGCAGAAAAGGUUAGUAACAGAUCUUUUGUUUCUUAUGUAUCUAUAAAUGUAAAAGUGGUGUUUGUCUUAAACAAAAGAAUUGUAUUUGUAAUAAAUGUUUUGGAUAUCCGAUUGGGGUAAGAAUUUUUGAGACUCUGAUCUGAUGGCUUAAAAUUGAUCUGGGCGAAGAGCAGGAUUCUGCUUACUUAAGAUCCAAAUUAAUAAAUCAAAACAUAGUAUUUUGUUGCAAGUGUUAAAGCAAUUUUCAGUCCACUGUAUGCUACCUUAACUUCAUUGUUUAUAAGCAGUAGUCAUACAAGAACCUUCAAGUUAUUCAUAAACGCGAAAAAACAAAACAUCAUCAUCAAGCAAAAGAAUAUCAAUUUAUGAGACAUACUAAUCAGUUUUUAUCUCAGGGAGUUGAAGAGUUUCACUUUGUCUAAAUUUCUCAAGAGUAAAAAUCUUUCUGUCAGAGAGUCAUGAAAAGCCUUUGCAUGUAGAAACAAGGAUCGUAUCUACAGCCAGUAGUCAUGUCGGUAUUCUAAUGUAUAUUGUUAAAGCUACAGAGAAACAAUGAUCACGUUCAUGCCUCACAACUCAACCAAUAUUCAAAUUUAUUAAAAAGUUCACAUUUUUUUCAUGUUAAUACUUCCGCAUCCCAAGAUUCUAAGAAAAAAAAAAGAAUUCUAAAGCAGUUUCUAAUAAUGCAAACACAAUGCUACCAGUAGUUAAAUUUUGUUCAAUGUGUGGAAUAUUAAACUAAACCAUGUUCAUUGUUCAAUACCAAAUCUAAUAAGUAGUUAAAUGACAGCUGAAACAUUUUAGAAACUACAAAAUAGUUAUGAAAAUAAAUAAAUUUAAUAGAAACACUACUUAUGAAAGUUGAUGUUAAUUUCAAUUUAGACAAAAAUAAAACAAAAAGUAUUUUUAUUAAAUAAAAACUAUAAUAAAAAUAAUAAUUAAAAUAAUAAAUGUCACAUAUAUAUUUUAUAAUAAAUAAAAUAAAUUAUAUAUCAGAAAUAUAAAUAGAUAUCAAACAUUAAACUAAAUAAUAUAAUAUCCCGCGAAAGAAAUCUGAGCUGAGUUUAUACUAUAGGCACAAAAACUCUGGGAAGCAAAAACACGAGAGCUCAAAAUAAACUUAUAUUUAAAUUUCUUAAUAUGUUGUAAUCAAUCAAAAUUAAACUACAACCAAGAUUUUUAAAAAAUAUACAAAAAAUAUAUGAAAUAUUAAAUUUAAAUUUAAAUCUAUGUAGUAAAGCGUAUGUUAGAAUAUCUUAUAAAACUUUUAGGCCUUCAUCACCAUUUGCAACUAUAUAUAGAAAAACAAUGCCAAACUUCAAUACAUUUUGUUAUGUAUAUAAACUGCAUAAAAAUGUCAAAGAAAGUAUAUAGAAAAUGACUUUGAAACAAUCAAAAUAUGAAUUAAUAAUUUAGAAUGGUUUGGUUUGUACCAAGUUUUUUUUUUGUGUAAAAAAUCCUAUAGAUUGCUUCCGUGUGCGAUAGGGUUACGUGGAUUUUGGUUUGGACUACAGUCUAAGAGAAAUCAAAAGUAUAUUCAAAAACAAAAGUAUAAAAGUUAGAAAAAUAUAAGCCAAAGUAACCAAAAGAAUUUCACACAAAAGAAACAAAGAAAGGUCAAAAAAGAGCAACUGCUAAUAAUGUCAAU